rnacentral:lncRNA from 1 species
UUACAGCCCAGCAAUAAUAGUAAGAAAUAACUGUGUAUGGAUUGCCCAAGUUCAUCCACAGGAGAGAUCCCGGGUUAUCCCACCCAGGAAAGUGAAGACCUCAAGCAGCUUAAAGAGAAGAAAAUUGAAGAAAGAAAGGAAGAGACAAAAGGUGCUGAACUCUGUGUCCAGGAAAAUGAAUAGAUAAACCGAUAGAGUCACUUCCUCUGCCUGAAUUAGUUUAACAACAUCUGCUAAAAAAUCGAUUGUGCUGUGUCCUAAGGAUAAAAAGACAAUUAGCCUUGUUCAGAGUCCAAGUAAUGGCACACAAAUAUAAACUAAUAAGUAAGGAAUCUGUAUGUCCUCGAGCCUUGCUUACAGUGAUGAGCAUCACAAACAUGUGCCCACACUCAAGGAUGAAGAAACUGCAAAACCUUACAGCCCUGUGACUGCCUGUUAUAAAGAACUGCUGAAGAAGGACGUAUCUGAGAAAACAAGGAUGGUCUCAAAAGGAGGAAAGGCUGGAAGAAAUCUAUGCUCAUUACAUGAGGAUGAAAAGCAGGAAAGGGAGGAGGAGAGAAGAGAAUGAGCAGACAAAGGGGAAAAUCAGGCAGCACCUGUGCGUAAGCUGCUUGUGUCUCCACAAACGGAGCUGCCUGUGUGGUUUGCUGAGGGAGAAUAACACUUAAAGAUCUGUGGGAAAUCGGCCUGGAGUUUUAUUUUAAAAACAAAUAAACAAAAAACAAUCAACCCAAACC